GGGUGUAUAGCUUAGUGAUAGAGUGCUUGCUUAGCAAGCAUGAGGUCCUGGGUUUAAUCCCCUGUACCUCCA
rnacentral:tRNA from 1 species